rnacentral:rRNA from 1 species
AGUAACGGCGAGUGAAGCGGGAAGAGCUCAAAUUUGUAAUCUGGCACUUUCAGUGUCCGAGUUGUAAUCUCGAGAAGUAUUUUCCGCGCCGGACUGCAUACAAGUCUGUUGGAAUACAGCGUCAUAGUGGUGAGAACCCCGUAACUGAUGCAGAUGCCCGGUGCUUUGUGAUAUACUUUCGAAGAGUCGAGUUGUUUGGGAAUGCAGCUCAAAUUGGGUGGUAAAUUCCAUCUAAAGCUAAAUAUUGGCGAGAGACCGAUAGCGAACAAGUACCGUGAGGGAAAGAUGAAAAGCACUUUGGAAAGAGAGUUAACAGUACGUGAAAUUGUUGGAAGGGAAACGCUUGAAGUCAGACUUGCUAUUUGGAAUUCAGCCGCAAGGUGUACUUUUCAAUUCGCAGGCCAGCAUCAGUUUUUGGGGGUGGAAAAGGGUAGAGAGAAGGUAGCAGUUUCGGCUGUGUUAUAGCUCUUUGCUGGAUUCAUCCUUGGGGACUGAGGAACGCAGCACGCUUUUUGCAAGGCUUUCGAGCUUUUCGUGC